AUAAUCUUAUGACUUUAGUGUUUCUUGUGGGGAUCUUUUCUACCUGGACUGGCUGGUUUCUAUUAGAAGUUACCUUUAAAGUAUUCAUUUUCUGUGGGGUCAUGGGUCAUAUGUGGGUUGGGUUUUUAUUGUAACAUUGUGUAUGAAUUUUGGGGGUUUUUUUUAUGUUAAAGCGCUUUGAGUUGCACAAGGGAUGAGAAGGUAUUUUCAUAAAUGGAGUUUGAUUGCAUUCUUUUUCUACUGUUUAGCACAUGUCCGCCACCUACAGUUGGAAGAGGUUUGGUGCCAAAUGUUGAAGCGAUGAAAAUCUGCUGAAUCUUGCUUCAGGAUUUUUACUUUCACAGCUCUAUUCCAAUAUUUAAAAGACUUUGUGUUCCACUCGGAAAAUCUGUAAUUUCUUCUUCCGUCGUUUAAAAAGGACGCCAUCCAUACCUCGCUACCAAAUCCGACUCCCUGAUUGUUUAAAGUUUAACGGGUUUAACUUUCAACGCGCGUUUAGUACGUAAAUCACGAAAAAAGUCGUAGAAACUUUAACAGCUAAACGUGAGCUAGAGAACACGGAGCCCGAAAAGCACGUUCAUGCCGAUUUUUGAUUGGAAGCGUCCGCCUGAACGCGUCGGGGACGAUGUGAACGUAGGUUUAGAGCUUACUCAAGGGGAUAAUGACCAAAAGACACCCGCAUCUACAGUCACACAUGCAAAGGUUCAGAACGUUCUGAAGAGUUCUCCUGUGAGCUCCGAUCUAAAUCCAUGUUGAGGAUCAGUGGAAGUCUGAGAAAACUGGAGCAGUUCAGUCACAAGAACUGAAGCACAAUACCUGUUGAAUGCGGAUGGAGAGGUCCCAUUGAGGCUACCAUGGUCUACUGUUUUAAUUCUACUUAAACAGGAUUGGUUUUCAAUUUAGAUUUUUGUUUCUUGGUCUAAAAAAAUCUCAAAAAGUUACAGAAAAGUCGUUUUUCAAAUAUAAGUGGAACGCUGAGGUUACAGGGAGCAGAGGAGAAGAAGGUGGAGGACUGUGAGAGUCAUCCGGUCAGAACAACAGAAGUGAGUGAACAAGCAGGUUGGAAUGGGUGGAGGAGGGUUUCAGGUGUGAAGGAAGGCUGUGGUGAGAGCGACUAUGCUGUUGGAUUAGACACUCUGAUGCAGACAGGAGGCAGAGCUGGAGGGAGAAGAGACGAAGAUGCUGAGGUUCUCUGUGGGAGUGACCAGGAAGGAUCCGGAAUCAGAGGAACGGAUCGUGGUUUCAGAGAUGUUUGGAGGAAUGUUUUUGAUGUCUAGAUGUUCAGGAGAUUCAUGCAGGGAAGCAGAUUGAGAUGGUUUGAGAGGAGGAACAGUGAUGAUGUUGGAAAACGGAUGCUGAGGUUGGAGAAGCCAGGAGGAAGAGGAGGACUGAGCGUGGUAUUUGCUGUGGAGAACCCGGAGAAGUAUGGGGUUCCAUUUGGGCCAAAAAAUGUUUUUGUGGUUUGCAUCUUUGCAUAAAUCUGGUUAUUCUGUUUUUUUUAAUACGCUGAAUUCAGUUUUAUGACAUUUUACGUUGUGUCACACAGCCACUACGUGCAUUUUGCGCACAUUGCAAGGAUGUAAAUUGGUCAUACGUGAAAACACGUGGAUAAAGUGUGAAAGUAUGAUAAUCUUUCACAGAUGCAUUACGAAUGAACCACGUUAAAACCUUCGGAAGUAGUACGAAUAAACCACACAAAAAACAUGUCAAUCAAUGUAAAACAUGAACCGUGCGUGAUUAUAGUGCUUUUUAUAUACGAAACAAUUACGAACAAUUACGAAAUUUGAACGUGGUAUGUGCGGCGUAUUCACGAUAUCUGGUGAGGGAGGGGUGCCAGCUUUGUGUAAUUGUUCUAUGUUUUCUGCUUGAUUAAAUUUUUAUAUUUUAUGGCCUUUUUAUUUGCUUUUAUGUAAAGCGCUUCGUGUUUUCAGUCGAAAUGAAAGGCGCUAAACAAAUAAAUAAAGUUUGAGUUUGAUAUAAAAGUUGUACAUCGGUGGUACACGAUGUCCAUCAGACAUGCGUGGAACGGUCAAGUAUAGCUACAACUUUGCAUCUCGCACAAAUCACGCACAGUUGUGUAAAUUUGACGUAAUAAUUGCGUAUAAACUAUGUUAAAUAAGCAUAAACUGUGACCAAACAUUUUGAAGAACUCAAAAGCCAGUCUUGUUUUUUUAUUUUUGUAUUUGAUCUAUUUCUAUUUGUUGUUUCCAUUUUGUAUUAUUCUUUUUUGCUGCUGUUUAUUGCCUUGAUCCAAAAUUAACAAACAGACAAAAAAAAAGUCAAAUUACUUCAACUUUACUCUUGGAUUCUCCAGGAUUAAAAGUGUUUUUCUGUAUAUUGCAAAAAGAAGAUCAUGUAGAAAAGAAUCACAUUAAAAUGUUUUAAAUUAAUGCAAGAUGUUGCCUGUCAGGGGAGUUAUAAAAUGAAUAUACAGUACAGUGAGAAUCUGCUGCAUGUGUUUGAUCAAACAUAUUAAUGGUUUACUUCCUGUAUGAAGCCAGGGUUCUGGAUUUGUUCUGUUCUUUUCAGGAAAAAAAGGAUUGGAUCAACCCAACAAGAUAAAAGAAGUGUUAUUUACAUUCUACUGCAUCCUGUUAAAUGAUUUUUGGCGCAGUUGUGUACAUUUUGUGGAUCACAAGAAUAAAUAAUUUGCCGUUUGUUUGUGAAUUGUAUACACAAAUACAUUUCAGACUGACACUGGAAAUCACAUUUGUUGUAAAACUGGAAAAAAAAAAACUUUUAACCUUCCAUUAAAAGACAAAACAUGGAGCAGAACUUUAUUUUCAUAUUACAAUUGUAUUUUAUAUUUAUAAAAGAAAAUGGUCAAACCUAAUUUAAGCACUUUUUGCAGUAAUAAAUACAAUGUUGUCAAGUUAUCAAAUAAAUUAUACUUGAAAGGGAACUUAAAAAAACGAUAUCAUUGUUAGUUUAUUUGUGAUGCUUCUGUACUUUGGCUGUAUACAUUUGUUUUUAUGUAUUUAUUAAUUUUCUCAAUCCUUGGUUAUCACACUUUGGUUUUUAAAUAAAAUGUGUUGGAGGAUUGCGUCAUCUUUUGCAGCCGUUUGUUGAUGCGUCUGCAUGUGUUCAUGUGUGCGUACAGCGGCCUCUAGUGGGGGAGAGAAGAGCCUGUAGUUUUGCAAGUUCUCUACGUCACCACAAAAGCUCUCCUCCCAUUGGCUGCCGGGCUUGGAUCACGUGACUCCCUCUCUGAGUUUGCUGUGAAGCUAAAAGACAGAAACAAAACAAUGAGCGCUUCUAGCUGAUUUUCUCCUCAAAAACAAACAUCGAACCCGCGACAUAAAAUGCUUUAAGACGCAGAUUCAGGUGGAUUUGAACUAUCAACGAUCGUCUGAGGUGGCUCUACGAUGGUCUGAGAGAAGAUUCAUUCAUUGGUGACAUUUGGAGGCAGAAUAAAGAGAAAAA